rnacentral:rRNA from 1 species
CAAGCAGCAAGUCAGGAUUGGAGUUAAAUGUUUCAAUCCGGGUUGACAAGCUGUGAUGGGGAGUGAAAUUACAGUAGCGAAGUCGUUGAUGUCACGCUGCCGAGAAAAGCUUCUAGUGAGUAACUAACUACCCGUACCGCAAACCGACACAGGUAGUCGAGGAGAGAAUCCUAAGGUGAGCGAGUGAACUCUCGUUAAGGAACUCGGCAAAAUGACCCCGUAACUUCGGGAGAAGGGGUGCUGGUCUAACGACCAGCCGCAGUGAAAAGGCCCAGGCGACUGUUUAUCAAAAACACAGGUUUCUGCAAAAUCGUAAGAUGAAGUAUAGGGGCUGACGCCUGCCCGGUGCUGGAAGGUUAAAAGGAAGGGUUAGCUUCGGCGAAGCUCUGAAUUGAAGCCCCAGUAAACGGCGGCCGUAACUAUAACGGUCCUAAGGUAGCGAAAUUCCUUGUCGGGUAAGUUCCGACCCGCACGAAAGGCGUAACGAUCUGGGCACUGUCUCAACGAGAGACUCGGUGAAAUUGAAUUGCCUGUGAAGAUGCAGGCUACCCGCGACAGGACGGAAAGACCCCAUGGAGCUUUACUGUAGCUUGAUAUUGAGUGUUUGUAUUGCUUGUACAGGAUAGGUAGGAGCCGUAGAAACCGGAACGCUAGUUUCGGUGGAGGCGCUGGUGGGAUACUACCCUUGCACUAUGACCACUCUAACCCGCAUCACUAAUCGUGAUGGGAGACAGUGUCAGGUGGGCAGUUUGACUGGGGCGGUCGCCUCCCAAAAGGUAACGGAGGCGCCCAAAGGUUCGCUCAGAAUGGUUGGAAAUCAUUCGCAGAGUGUAAAGGCACAAGCGAGCUUGACUGCGAGACAGACAGGUCGAGCAGGGACGAAAGUCGGGCUUAGUGAUCCGGUGGUUCCGCAUGGAAGGGCCAUCGCUCAACGGAUAAAAGCUACCCUGGGGAUAACAGGCUUAUCUCCCCCAAGAGUCCACAUCGACGGGGAGGUUUGGCACCUCGAUGUCGGCUCAUCGCAUCCUGGGGCUGUAGUCGGUCCCAAGGGUUGGGCUGUUCGCCCAUUAAAGCGGUACGCGAGCUGGGUUCAGAACGUCGUGAGACAGUUCGGUCCCUAUCCGUCGCGGGCGUAGGAAAUUUGAGAGGACCUGUCCUUAGUACGAGAGGACCGGGAUGGACAUACCGCUGGUGUACCAGUUGUUCCGCCAGGAGCAUCGCUGGGUAGCUAUGUAUGGAUGAGAUAAACGCUGAAAGCAUCUAAGUGUGAAACUCGCCUCAAGAUGAGAUUUCCCAUUCCGUUAAGGAAGUAAGACCCCUCAGAGAUGAUGAGGUAGAUAGGAUGGAAGUGGAAGUGCGGUGACGCAUGGAGCGGACCAUUACUAAUCGGUCGAGGACUUAACCAA